rnacentral:sRNA from 1 species
UACUGAUUCGCUUUCUGAGGUCCUGUU